rnacentral:rRNA from 1 species
UACAGGGGGGGCAAGCGUUGUUCGGAAUUACUGGGCGUAAAGGGCUCGUAGGCGGCCAACUAAGUCCGACGUGAAAUCCCAAAGCUUAACUUUGGAACUGCGUCGGAUACUGGAUGGCUUGAAUUCGGGAGAGGGAUGCAGAAUUCCAGGUGUAGCGGUGAAAUGCGUAGAUAUCUGGAGGAACACCGGUGGCGAAGGCGGCAUUCUGGACCAAUACUGACGCUGAGGAGCGAAAGCCAGGGGAGCAAACGGG